rnacentral:rRNA from 1 species
AUUGAACGCUGGCGGCAUGCCUUACACAUGCAAGUCGAACGGCAGCACGGGAGCAAUCCUGGUGGCGAGUGGCGAACGGGUGAGUAAUAUAUCGGAACGUGCCCAGUAGUGGGGGGAUAGCCCGGCGAAAGCCGGAUUAAUACCGCAUGAGACCUGAGGGUGAAAGCGGGGGAUCGCAAGACCUCGCGCUAUUGGAGCGGCCGAUAUCAGAUUAGCUAGUUGGUGGGGUAAAGGCCUACCAAGGCAACGAUCUGUAGUUGGUCUGAGAGGACGACCAGCCACACUGGGACUGAGACACGGCCCAGACUCCUACGGGAGGCAGCAGUGGGAAUUUGACAAUGGGCGCAAGCCUGAUCCAGCAAUGCCGCGUGCAGGAAGAAGGCCUUCGGUU